UAAAGACAGUCCAACCACUCUCUAAAAAUUAACAUUUCAAACCCACAGAAACCAUAUAGGCCCCCUGACUACAAGGGGGAAUACAUUUUUUUUCCAACA